CCUACCUGCAGCUCCCAUUGCUAGUGUAAGCUUCAUCCUCCAUAACCAUCGCCAUGAACCGAAAACGACUAAAUUGGUACGUCAAGCUUUGGGUGUAUUUCAUAUCAGACGUUAACAAGUCUCACUAACAUCAUGAAAUCAUCCCAAACGAAGACUUCUCCAACUCAACGACAUUUAGUUGAAUGUUCAGUUGUGACAGGUUGAGCUCAAUCAAUGGAGCUAAUACCACUGCCUACAACUUUUGGACAAAUCUACAAUGAUCUUCUUCAGGUUUUUCAGUAAGCAGAUCCACUUGGACCUUCACCCUUGCACAACUUGGAUGCGUCUUAUUUAUUGUUUCCAGGUCUAACUGAAGAGGUUUCCUAACCACAUACGCAAGAGUGAACAAUACUUCCUUCACAAACAAAGUUGGCAAUAAAUCAGGAAAACAGAUCCAAGUCGUAGCCUUCAUCGUCUCUUCACUUGGUUUGAAGUUUGCAUCAUAUAUAAAUGGCCUCAUUUGAUAUGCAAUUCCAUCCUUUGCAAUUACGUAAUAAGAAGUUUUAGACAGUAUCUUAAUAUAAUCCUCCAUACGAUCAAAUCUCAUUAAGA